CCUGAAGAGAGUACCAUCAACUUUACGUUUUUCUAUAUGUCCUGUCCCUGCUGCCAUUCUUGUCAAACUACUUGCCUCUUGUCUUACUACUGGAUACUCUUUUGUACACCUAACCAUUUAUACACAUACAUGCUUUUCUUCCUCCCUCUCUUUCUUUACUUUUUUUAUAGGCUUCACCCAUCUCUCCAAUCCCCAUAGUCAUUUUCUUCAGAAUGCCAAUGCUGCUGGAACAACUGAUUCAAAGGAGUCACAUCAUCAGGACAUUUGCACAGUGCAAAGAACAAAUGAUACAUGCAAAUCUGAGAAGCCAUGCACCAGGUCCUCAGCCAUUGCUUAGAGCAAGACCUUCAGGCCUGAUGUGAAAGUAGAAAAACCAGACAGGAGCAGCAGGCAGAGACAAGUGUGGAAGGC
rnacentral:lncRNA from 1 species